GGGUACAGGUAUCAAUCAGUAUUCUUCUUUCAGGGAUACAGUACAAUGCUAUGCUUCCACAUCAUCUGGGAUUUAAAAGGCAGAAUAUCCAAGUCACUCUCCAGGCAGAUGAGAUCAAAAUUUCCAGUAAGCUGGCAUGCAGGCCAUGAUCUGUACACAUACCGCGCUCCAGGGCUGUUCGGACUACUGAAGACUCCUCUGCGGAAGAAGAGUGAAACUCAUGGUGGAAAGGAUAUAAACCUUGUUGAGAGAUUUCUUGGAAGAGACAAGCAACUUCUCCACACUUCCUCAGGCCGAGGUUGUAACCACCACCCGUUCCUGUCCUCAGUUGAGGCAAACAGGCAGAAUAUGCAGGUUUGGAAGCCAAAAACCUGCUGAACUGAAAUCUAGGAGUCCUGGAUGAGUGCCGGGUCUUCUUUAUUUUCUCAGUGGGACUUUGAAAGACACUCUGAUAUCUAUUAACAAAGCUAUCUGGACUCAGUUAUCACUUCCCAAUA